rnacentral:rRNA from 1 species
UACGUAGGGAGCAAGCGUUGUCCGGAAUCAUUGGGCGUAAAGCGCGCGUAGGUGGCUUCGUAAGUCCGUUGUGAAAGUCAAAGGCUCAACCUUUGAAAGCCGAUGGAUACUGUGAAGCUAGAGUACGGAAGAGGCGAGUGGAAUUCCUGGUGUAGCGGUGAAAUGCGUAGAUAUCAGGAGGAACACCGGUGGUGUAGACGGCUUUCUGGACCGUAACUGACGCUGAGACACGAAAGCGUGGGUAGCAAACAGG